rnacentral:lncRNA from 1 species
AGGAACCCAUUUUCAAACACACUGACAAUGCUUAUCUUCAUUUCUUCUUCUUCUUUUUUCUGAACAUAACUUUAACACCCGCUGAAUUUAGCAAUAGCAGAGGCACACGUACAUACACUUAGCUAACAAGUCAUUUGCUCAACUAUGCUUCCAUCUGAAUUUCGGCGACGACCGGCAUCUGAACAGCCGGCGAUUGAAGAGAGUAACAGGUGUGUAUUUCUAUGAAAGUUUAAAACUGAAGUUGGGUUUUAUUAUAUUCUUGGAUUUUGUUAAAUUGUUGCUAGUUAGACACUUCGUAUUUUUUAUAUAGUUAAUUAAACUAUAUAACUCAAGAAAUCAAACAGUGAACUUGCACAAUAUCCUCUGCUUUCUUGACUGCUUGAUCCAAUUGAUUGUUGUGAACUUGCUGAAGCCAUGACAAGUAUGAGAGUUGAGAUGCUUUGCAAACGAAGAAUAUUGUGCAAAUAAAGAAUAAAAUUAUGCCAAUUUAAAUAGAGUAAAGCAGCACUGAUAUUACCGUUGGUUACCAACGGUAAUAUCAGUGUUGCUUUUAUAUUAAUUACUUUAAAAUAUUUUAAUCUAUUUGUCUUAUUACUACCUAAUUGUUACUGUUAAAAUACUUGGUUUAAAGGGCAUUUCAAUCUUUUUAACACCUAAUUCAGUUUUGUUUUAUAUAUGAUUGCGUAAUGUUAAAAAAUAAAUUCAUAAGGGUAUAAUAGCCUUUCCAAUACUCUUUUCCAUUUGGGGCCAAAAAGCAAGAUUUCUACAGUAUCAAAUUAUCUUGUCAUUCCUUGAAAUGUGUUGUUAAGGGCAUUUUUGAAUAUUCCCUUAACUGCCUAACGGAUGUAUAACUCUUAUAAACGGCCAGGGAUGUUGUCAAUAUAUGCAUAUAUUCUCUCUAGGUGUAUCAGAGGCAAACCUCAGGGGUGAUUUUUAAAAAUUACCCUAUUUUAUAACAAUCAACAACCAAUCUGUCAAUUAACCCAUGCCUUUACUCAUUCUUGACUUUGGGAAAGCAGAGAAUUCACCAAAUACCAAGAUGAUCAAUAUAACUUGUCAAUAACCGCAUUUACUUGAGCAUCAAAAUAGGUUUAGAUUAUGACAGCUUAAAUCACAACUAUUUAUACCUAUGAAUCACAAGAGAUUUUCCUGACGAACAAGAUGAUCAAAUAGAACUUUACAAACAUAUAGAAGGUACAUGCAGCAAAACCAAGCUCAGCCCAGAAUCAUAAAUCUAGCCAAAAAAGAAAAAAAAUCAUAUCCUUUGAAAACAAUCACUGCUACGUCUUCAAAUAAACUUAAUAAAAGAACCCAGAAGUAGAAUAACAAAUAAAACAAAAAGAGACAUAGUAAAGAAGAAACACUCACCAAGAGGAAGUGAUAGUAAACUCAACUGGGUCUGGCUCUGUUAGCUCUGGUGUGAGCUCUGGCUGAUGCAGAUGAUGAAAGCUUGUUUCUUGACUCAAUUGCCAUUUCUUGCUAUUAUUAUAGUAGUAGUCUUCAACUUAUGCUGUUGUACAAGACAUUUGAAAAGCCUCCCCGAGUAAAUGUGGUUCACAAACAAAAAACGUGAUGGUGCCAAACGAUAUUUUUUAGGAACAAACAAACCAGCGUGAAGAAUGUUGAAAAGUCAAAAUUGGUGAUUUAUUUAUUUAAAUUAAUUGAAAAAGAAGAGAUGGGCCACAUGCAUAAUUAGGGGUGGGCAUCUUAAUCUGAUCCGAUCCGAACUAAUUCGGAUCGGAUUCAGAUUUGAAGACAAAUCCGAUUGGAUGAAAUUUGUACGAUCCGAUUGGAUUUAGUUCGAAUCGGAUCGGAUUUAGAUAAAUUCGAAUCAUCCGAUCAGAUUUACACUGUAAACUAAAAAAAAAAAAAUUAAAAAACUAAGCUAAAUGACUAAAUAUUUUUGGAUGAUAAUUUUUAUUUUGGUUUAUUUUAUUGUUGAAUGAUAUAAUGAUAAUAUUUAUUUUGUGAUUUUGUGUUGUUUAUUUAUUUGGAGACUUUGAGUAAUGUUUGAUUGUUUAUUUUGUGUUGUUUGUUUGGAGACUUGGAGUUGGAGCAAAGUUUAUUUUGUGUUAUUCAUUUGGACUUUGGAGAGUUGGAGCAAUGUUUAUUUUGUGUUGCUUAUUUGGAGGCUUGGACUUGGAGUAAUGUUUAUGCACCUAGCUUGCA